rnacentral:rRNA from 1 species
GAUCCUGGCUCAGGACGAACGCUGGCGGCGUGCCUAACACAUGCAAGUCGAGCGGAGACAGUGAGUAGCUUGCUAUGAGCUGUUUUAGCGGCGGACGGGUGAGUAACGCGUGAGGCAACCUUUCCCAGACAGGGGGAAGUAACACACCGAAAGGUGUACUAAUACCGCAUAAGACCACGGGAUCACAUGGGUUCUGAGGUAAAAGNUUUAUCGGUUUGGGGUGGGCUCGCGUCCGAUUAGGGUAGUUGGUGAGGG